GGCAGGGUAGCUCAGACGGUUAGAGCACGGGAUUCAUAAACCCGAGGUCGCGAGUUCGAUUCUCGCCCCUGUCA
rnacentral:tRNA from 1 species